rnacentral:rRNA from 1 species
GAUGAACGCUAGCUACAGGCUUAACACAUGCAAGUCGAGGGGUAGCACGGGGGAAGCUUGCUUCCUUGGGUGACGACCGGCGCACGGGUGAGUAACGCGUAUCCGACCUACCCAUAACUCGGGCACAGCCGCUCGAAAGAGUGAUUGAUUCCCGAUAUGUCCUUGGAGUAGAUUCAAUGAUGAAAGAUUCAUCGGUUAUGGAUGGGGAUGCGUAAGAUUAGGUAGUAGGCGGGGUAACGGCCCACCUAGCCGACGAUGGAUAGGGGUUCUGAGAGGAAGGUCCCCCACACUGGAACUGAGACACGGUCCAGACUCCUACGGGAGGCAGCAGUGAGGAAUAUUGGUCAAUGGGCGCAAGCCUGAACCAGCCAAGUAGCGUGAAGGAUGACUGCCCUAUGGGUUGUAAACUUCUUUUAUACGGGAACAAACCUUGGUACGCGUACCGAAUUGCGUGUACCGUAUGAAUAAGCAUCGGCUAACUCCGUG